GCUGGGUGUGGGCACAGAUCUUAGCCUCUAUGAACUCUUCCCCCAUUCCAAGGAAUGGGAGCCCUUGCCACAUUCCUCCCUGUCUCUGCUGCCUGUGGCCAGAUGACCUGGUGGGUCUUUCCUUCCAGAAACCUCUCUCCAGGAAAUCCCUGACCUUGAGACCCUCUUUCAGCACCUCUUCUUUCUCAGCAGCAUCCUUGGAGCUAUGCUCAUCUCUGCCACAGGGCCUUUCCUUGGGCACACCCACCUACUAAAG
rnacentral:lncRNA from 1 species